GGGGCCAUAGCUUUGUGGCAGAGUAUCUGCUUUGAGUGCAGAAGGUUGCAGGUUCAAUCCCUGGCAUCUCCA
rnacentral:tRNA from 1 species